AGUGAACGCUGGCGGUAGGCCUAACACAUGCAAGUCGAACGGCAGCACAGUAAGAGCUUGCUCUUACGGGUGGCGAGUGGCGGACGGGUGAGGAAUACAUCGGAAUCUACUUUUUCGUGGGGGAUAACGUAGGGAAACUUACGCCAAUACCGCAUACGACCUACGGGUGAAAGCAGGGGAUCUUCGGACCUUGCGCGAUUGAAUGAGCCGAUGUCGGAUUAGCUAGUUGGCGGGGUAAAGGCCCACCAAGGCGACGAUCCGUAGCUGGUCUGAGAGGAUGAUCAGCCACACUGGAACUGAGACACGGUCCAGACUCCUACGGGAGGCAGCAGUGGGGAAUAUUGGACAAUGGGCGCGAGCCUGAUCCAGCCAUACCGCGUGGGUGAAGAAGGCCUUCGGGUUGUAAAGCCCUUUUGUUGGGAAAGAAAAGCAGCAGGUUAAUACCCCGCUGUUCUGACGGUACCCAAAGAAUAAGCACCGGCUAACUUCGUG
rnacentral:rRNA from 1 species